AGUCGAGGGGCAGCAUUUCAGUUUGCUUGCAAACUGGAGAUGGCGACCGGCGCACGGGUGAGUAACACGUAUCCAACCUGCCGAUAACUCGGGGAUAGCCUUUCGAAAGAAAGAUUAAUACCCGAUGGUAUAAUCAGACCGCAUGGUCUUGUUAUUAAAGAAUUUCGGUUAUCGAUGGGGAUGCGUUCCAUUAGGCAGUUGGUGAGGUAACGGCUCACCAAACCUUCGAUGGAUAGGGGUUCUGAGAGGAAGGUCCCCCACAUUGGAACUGAGACACGGUCCAAACUCCUACGGGAGGCAGCAGUGAGGAAUAUUGGUCAAUGGGCGCAGGCCUGAACCAGCCAAGUAGCGUGAAGGAUGACUGCCCUAUGGGUUGUAAACUUCUUUUAUAUGGGAAUAAAGUUUUCCACGUGUGGAAUUUUGUAUGUACCAUAUGAAUAAGGAUCGGCUAACUCCGUGCCAGCAGCCGCGGUAAUACGGAGGAUCCGAGCGUUAUCCGGAUUUAUUGGGUUUAAAGGGAGCGUAGGUGGACAGUUAAGUCAGUUGUGAAAGUUUGCGGCUCAACCGUAAAAUUGCAGUUGAUACUGGCUGUCUUGAGUACAGUAGAGGUGGGCGGAAUUCGUGGUGUAGCGGUGAAAUGCUUAGAUAUCACGAAGAACUCCGAUUGCGAAGGCAGCUCACUGGACUGCAACUGACACUGAUGCUCGAAAGUGUGGGUAUCAAACAGGAUUAGAUACCCUGGUAGUCCACACAGUAAACGAUGAAUACUCGCUGUUUGCGAUAUACAGUAAGCGGCCAAGCGAAAGCAUUAAGUAUUCCACCUGGGGAGUACGCCGGCAACGGUGAAACUCAAAGGAAUUGACGGGGGCCCGCACAAGCGGAGGAACAUGUGGUUUAAUUCGAUGAUACGCGAGGAACCUUACCCGGGCUUAAAUUGCAUUUGAAUAUAUUGGAAACAGUAUAGCCGUAAGGCAAAUGUGAAGGUGCUGCAUGGUUGUCGUCAGCUCGUGCCGUGAGGUGUCGGCUUAAGUGCCAUAACGAGCGCAACCCUUAUCUUUAGUUACUAACAGGUCAUGCUGAGGACUCUAGAGAGACUGCCGUCGUAAGAUGUGAGGAAGGUGGGGAUGACGUCAAAUCAGCACGGCCCUUACGUCCGGGGCUACACACGUGUUACAAUGGGGGGUACAGAAGGCAGCUACCUGGUGACAGGAUGCUAAUCCCAAAAGCCUCUCUCAGUUCGGAUCGAAGUCUGCAACCCGACUUCGUGAAGCUGGAUUCGCUAGUAAUCGCGCAUCAGCCAUGGCGCGGUGAAUACGUUCCCGGGCCUUGUACACACCGCCCGUCAAGCCAUGAAAGCCGGGGGUACCUGAAGUACGAACCGCAAGGAGCUCCUAGG
rnacentral:rRNA from 1 species